AGUUUGAUCCUGGCUCAGGACGAACGCUGGCGGCGUGCUUAACACAUGCAAGUCGAGCGAGGUCCAUCCAGUCGCAAGACUGGGGAACACCUAGCGGCGAACGGGUGAGUAACACGUGAGCCCCCUGCCCCGAAGACUGGGAUAACACCGGGAAACCGGUGCUAAUACCGGAUGUCCUCCUCUGAUCGCAUGGUCUAGGGAGGAAAGGAUUUUUGCUUCGGGAGGGGCUCGCGGGCUAUCUGCUUGUUGGUGAGGUAACGGCUCACCAAGGCGACGACGGCUAGCUGGUCUGAGAGGACCACCACCCACGCUGGGACUGAGACACGGCCCACACUCCUACGGGAGGCAGCAGAGGGGAAUCUUGCGCAAUGGGCGAAAGCCUGACGCACCACCGCCGCGUGGGGGAUGAAUGCCUUCGGGUUGUACACCCCUUUCAGCAGGGACAAAAAUGACGGUACCUGCAAAAGACCCCCCGGCCAACUACGUGCCAGCAGCCGCGGUAAUACGUAGGGGGCGAGCGUUGUCCGGAUUUAUUGGGCGUAAAGAGCUCGUAGGCGGCUUGGCAAGUCGGGUGUGAAACCUCCAGGCUCAACCUGGAGACGCCACUCUAUACUGCUAUGGCUAGAGUCCGGGUAGGGGACCACUGUAUUUCCUGGUGUAGCGGUGAAAUGCACAUAUAUCAAGACGAACCACCGGUGGCGAAGGCGGUGGUUCUGGCGCCGGCACUGACGCUGAGGAGC
rnacentral:rRNA from 1 species